rnacentral:lncRNA from 1 species
GUCAGAGCUGGGAAGAGGCCAAGAAAGAAGAGAGCAUCUCAGCGUAGCAGCCCUUGAACGGAAUCUAUCCCAGAACUUAGAAAUACUUUCUUGGACAACCGUUUCUCCAAGAAAGAAAAAAGAGCCAGCUAAAUGUAACAGCCAUCCUGGGUGGGAUCCUGGGACAGAAAGCCAAUCUGCAGAACCCUUGAGUAGUGGCUCAAGGUCAGCAUUGGAGAGGCAGAAGCAAGAAAAUUGCUUCCAGCUGAAGGCCAACCAGAGCUACAGAAUGAGACUCUUGUCUUCAGAAGAAGUAGGUAAAGGCUAAGAAAAUAGUAAUUAAGUGAUAACAGUACACUCAUAUUAGUUUAUUGAUGAUAGCAUGCUAAUAUAAGAUGCUAAUGGCAGACUAGAGAAACUAGGGCCGAUAUUCUUUAAACUGGCAUAGUAAAUGACUGUAGUUACUUGAGCCCAUUUUGUAAGAAGAACUGGGUAUAGAAAGUGAUCGUUUCUCACCUUGCUAAAAUCCUCCAG